UACGUAGGGUGCGAGCGUUAAUCGGAAUUACUGGGCGUAAAGCGUGCGCAGGCGGUUCGGUAUGUCUGAUGUGAAAGCCCCGGGCUCAACCUGGGAAUGGCAUUGGAAACUGGCGAGCUUGAGUGUGGCAGAGGGGGGUGGAAUUCCGCGUGUAGCAGUGAAAUGCGUAGAGAUGCGGAGGAACACCGAUGGCGAAGGCAGCCCCCUGGGCUAACACUGACGCUCAGGCACGAAAGCGUGGGGAGCAAACAGG
rnacentral:rRNA from 1 species